UCUACUAUGGAUUUGGAAGUGCUGGAAGAUUUAAAUGGAUUUUGCGUCGACAUCGUCUUUUACUAUAAUAAAAAAGUCUCGAAUAAAGCAUUUGAAUUGACGAUUAUGCAAGGAAAUGAAGUUGUGCGGCGCUUCACACAAAAUGCUGACCCCUCAAACGUACACAAAUGGCUCACAAGGAGGUUUCAAGACAAUUCGAUGGAACUCAAGGAAAAUUGGAAAAUCAGGCUGACGGCCGCAACAGGUCGCGUUGAAAUUGGUGCAAUCAAAUUCUGUGCUGGAGGCGAUUCUAACAUCAUAAAACCGAAAGGGAAAAACAUGGAAAGCUGUCAUUUGUUGGCGGCGAGUGAUCCAAAUCCAACCACAAAGGAAAGAUUGACACAAGUCGCCAACAAUAUGUCCAUUUGUGCUGCACUUGGAGGGAAUUGCUCUGAAUUUUCGGCAUGCCGAGAGAGCGGAGGGUGCGUGUGCUUUGCGGGAUCAACCAGUAAUAAAUGUACUGACUCGACUCCAACUAGUUCUUCAACAUUAAAUAAUGUCCAAACAACAGACCUCCCAGGAGGAACGAACCCCGAAAGCAGUUCGGAAUCGUGCGAGGAGAGAACCGGGAGGAUCCGUAACAUGGUUAUUCUGACGACCAGCUGCAAUAUCGGAAGCUACACCUUUCUCGUUUUCAUGCUUUUCUACUAUCGCCAUUUAAGGAAGCUGCAGGAUUCGAUCCGUUCUUAUCAACACCGGCAAAGAUUACCCACUCCGCCCAACGAGCACGUCCAAGCAGAAACAAGCUUUUCAAUGCAUAGACCGCAUAAUUUAAGAUUCAAUAAACAAAAGUGACAAGUUAGAUUAUUUAAAAUA